rnacentral:pre_miRNA from 1 species
GUAGGAAUCAUCUGUAGAUCUUAUUUAAAAGCAGAUUUUGAUUCAGUCAUCUGAGGUGGGGUUUGAGAUUCUGCAUUUCUAAUAAGCUCCUGAGUGAUGCUGAU